GAGCCAGACUCCUACGGGAGGCAGCAGUGGGGAAUAUUGCACAAUGGGGGAAACCCUGAUGCAGCGACGCCGCGUGAGUGAAGAAGUAAUUCGUUAUGUAAAGCUCUAUCAGCAGGGAAGAAGAAGGACGGUACCUGAGUAAGAAGCCCCGGCUAACUACGUGCCAGCAGCCGCGGUAAUACGUAGGGGGCAAGCGUUAUCCGGAUUUACUGGGUGUAAAGGGAGCGUAGACGGCGAAGAAAGUCUGAAGUGAAAGCCCGCGGCUCAACCGCGGAAUGGCUUUGGAAACUUUUUUGCUGGAGUACCGGAGAGGUAAGCGGAAUUCCUAGUGUAGCGGUGAAAUGCGUAGAUAUUAGGAGGAACACCAGUGGCGAAGGCGGCUUACUGGACGGUAACUGACGUGGAGGCUCGAAAGCGUGGGGAGCAAACAGGAUUAGAUACCCCGGUAGC
rnacentral:rRNA from 1 species